AUGUUGAAGUUCCUGGUCCUCAUUGUGGCGUUGGUUAUCACCACAGGAUCCCAGGCUUCUGAUGAUGAAAGCCGAAUUCCAAGAGUGGAGGAACUGCUCAGAUACUGGUUUGGUUUGCCCACGGCAUCAGAUUUCAUAUGGGACAACUUUAGCGAAUCAAAGACUGGGCAGGAAUUGUCAGGCCUGUUCCAUAAUGCAAGCCAACAAUUUCAUAAAUUUGACCGAGAGAUUCCAUCGGAGCUCACAGAACCCUUACAUCUCGUGAGUGCUGUAUAUACAGGUGUUAUGCUGAAAGCUUAUAGCGCUGUAACUGAGCUGAGAGACCAGCAGAAACUUCAAGAACCACUGAUAAACCUACUGGCGUAUUAUGUGGAACCCGUCCUGGAGAGGAUGGAACCAUAUUUUGAGUCCUUCGGACCGAUGCUCAAUGACGAACUGAGAUACAUUCAUGAGAAAUUGCCGGAGUAUUUUAAACCUCUUGACGAUGGGCUCUUCUUCUACCUCAAGAAGUUGGAAGACGCUAAACCGACCCUCCAAGACGCCGCCGACCAAACGCUGACUCGUUUCAUACAAGGGCUGGAGGCUCUUCACAAGAACCUGAAUCCUUACCUGAAACCCCUUCUGGAGGAGAGCAAAAAACACGAAACAGAGUUUAGGGAUUGGGUUCACGCCUCCAUAUUUCCCUCAGACUCGUGAUUUUUUUUUUUCAUGAGUAAGGGGGAGUGAUGCAUUGUGGAUCUUUAAGAAAAUCGGUGUGGAAGGGGUCACUAAAAUGAUGUGGUGGGCAGUAAUUUGUAAACUCCCCGCCUGGUGAUAUAAUAAAGGAGACAUUUUUAAAAACGGCUAGCCA
rnacentral:lncRNA from 1 species